rnacentral:rRNA from 1 species
UACGAAGGGGGCUAGCGUUGCUCGGAAUCACUGGGCGUAAAGCGCACGUAGGCGGAUUGCUAAGUCAGGGGUGAAAUCCUGGAGCUCAACUCCAGAACUGCCUUUGAUACUGGCGGUCUCGAGUCCGGGAGAGGUGAGUGGAACUGCGAGUGUAGAGGUGAAAUUCGUAGAUAUUCGCAAGAACACCAGUGGCGAAGGCGGCUCACUGGCCCGAUACUGACGCUGAGGUGCGAAAGCGUGGGGAGCAAACAGG